rnacentral:rRNA from 1 species
AUCAACGCUGGCGGCGUGCCUAACACAUGCAAGUCGUAGCGGAAAAGGGGGGGCAACUCCCUGAGUACAGCGGCGCAACGGGUGAGUAAACACGUGGGUAAUCUGCCGAAGUGGGGAAUAACACCGGGAAACCGGUGCUAAUACCGCAUAUGAUCACGGUGUCUGCCGACACAGGGGAUGAAUAGGAGCAAUUCGCUCUUCAGGAGGAGCCCGCGGCUGAUUAGCUAGUUGGUGAGGUAAUGGCUCACCAGGCAACGAUCAGUACCGGUCUAUGAGAGGACGGUCGGACACACUGGAACUGAGACACGGUCCAGACUCCUACGGAGGCAGCAGUGGGGAAUUUUUCGCAAUGGGGGCAACCCUGACGAAGCAAACGCCGCCGUGGGUGAUGAAGUCUCUUGGGACGGUAAAACCCUUUCGACGGGAAGAAACCGCAAGGUUGACGGUACCCGUAGAAGAAGCCCCGGCUAACUCCGUGCCAGCAGCCGCGGUAAUACGGGGGGGGCAAGGCGGUUGUUCGGAAUUCAGGUUACUGGCGUAAAGGGCGCGUAGGCGGUCUACGAAGUUGAUGUGAAAACUCUUGGGCUUAACCCAGAGCCUGGCUUCAAAACUGAUAGGCUGGAGUUUCUGGAGGGGAUAGCGGAAUUCCUGGUGUAGCGGUGAAAAUGCGAGAUAUCAGGAGGAACACCGGUGGCGAAGGCGGCUAUCUGGACAGAAACUGACGCUGAGGCGCGAAAGCUAGGGGAGCAAACAGGAUUAGAUACCCUGGUAGUUCCUAGCCCUAAACGAUGGAUACUGGUGUGACUGGGAUUGAAUCCAGUCGUGCCGAAGCUAACGCAUUAAGUAUCCCGCCUGGGGAGUACGGGUCGCAAGGCUGAAAACUCAAAGGAAUUGACGGGGGCCCGCACAAGCGGUGGAGUAUGUGGUUAAUUCGACGCAACGCGAAGAACCUUACCUGGGCUCGAACGGCUAGUGACAGGAGGCGAAAGUUUCUUUUCCCGCAAGGACACUAGUCGAGGUGCUGCAUGGCUGUCGUCAGCUCGUGUCGUGAGAUGUUGGGUUAAGGUCCCGCAAACGAGCGCACAACCCCUGCCUUUAGUUGCCAUCAGGUAAUGCUGGGCACUCUAAAGGGACUGCCGGUGAAAAACCGGAGGAAGGUGGGGAUGACGUCAAGUCCUCAUGGCCUUUAUGUCCAGGGCUACACACGUACUACAAUGGAUGGCACAAUGGGUCGCAAACUCGCGAGAGGGAGCCAAUCUCAAAAAAAACCAUUCUCAGUUCGGAUUGCAGUCUGCAACUCGACUGCAUGAAGCUGGAAUCGCUAAUAAUCGCUGAUCAGCAAGCAAGCGGUGAAUACGUUCCCGGGCCUUGUACACACCGGCCCGUCACAUCACGAAAGCCCGUUGUACUAGGAAGCCGGCAAUUCAAACCGCAAGGAGAUAGCCGUCCAAGGUAUGACUGGUGAUUGGGGUG